UCGAGAAUCUUCCACAAUGGACGAAAGUCUGAUGGAGCGACACCGCGUGACUGAUGACGUCUUUCGGGAUGUAAAGGUCUUUUAUGAGGGAUGACAUUGCGACAGUACCUCAUGAAUAAGGGGCUGCUAAUCACGUGCCAGCAGCAGCGGUAAUACGUGAGCCCCAAGCGUUAUCCGGAAUUACUGGGCGUAAAGAGUGCGUAGGCGGUCAUGUUAGUCUUCUGUUCAAUCCAUCGGCUCAACCGGUGAACCGCAGGGGAAACGGCAUGACUGGAGUGUGUGAGAGGUGAGCGGAACUCAUGGUGUAGGGGUGAAAUCCGUUGAUAUCAUGGGGAACACCAAAUGCGAAGGCAGCUCACUGGCACAUUACUGACGCUGAGGCACGAAAGCGUGGGUAGCG
rnacentral:rRNA from 1 species